GUCGCGGUGCACGACCCCGGCCGCGUGGAUCGCGGCCAGCGCGGUGGCCGUGGAGACGGCCAGGCGGUGCAGUUCGACGCCGCUGCGCGGGCCC
rnacentral:tRNA from 1 species